rnacentral:rRNA from 1 species
CCUACGGGUGGCAGCAGUAGGGGAUAUUGCUCAAUGGGGGGAACCCUGAUGCAGCAACGCCGCGUGGGCGAUGGAGUGCUUCGGCUUGUAAAGCCCUAUCGUCAGAGAGGAUAAUGACGGUACCUAACUAAUAAGCCCCGGCUAAAUACGUGCCAGCAGCCGCGGUAAUACGUAUGGGGCAAGCGUUAUCCGGAUUUACUGGGGGUAAAGGGCGCGUAGGCGGCCUUGCAAGUCUGAUGUGAAAUACCGGGGCUCAACCCAGGGGCUGCAUUUGAAACUGCCAGGCUGGAGUGCCGGAGAGGUAGGUGGAAUUCUUGGUGUAGCGGUGAAAUGCGUAGAUAUUAGGAGGAAUACUCGUGGCGAAGGCGGCCUGCUGGAAGGUGACUGACGCUGAGGCUCGAAAGCGUGGGGAGCAAACAGGAUUAGAUACCCUGGUAGUC